UACGUAUGGUGCAAGCGUUAUCCGGAUUUACUGGGUGUAAAGGGAGCGCAGGCGGCACGGCAAGCCUGAUGUGAAAGCCCGCGGCCCAACCGCGGGACUGCAUUGGGAACUACCGGGCUGGAGUGCCGGAGAGGUAGGCGGAAUUCCUAGUGUAGCGGUGAAAUGCGUAGAUAUUAGGAGGAACACCAGUGGCGAAGGCGGCCUAUUGGACGGUGUCUGACGCUGAGGCUCGAAAGCGUGGGGAGCAAACAGG
rnacentral:rRNA from 1 species